AGAGUUUGAUCCUGGCUCAGGAUGAACGCUGGCGGUAUGCCUAACACAUGCAAGUCGUACGAGAGUUUUUAACUCAAGUGGCGGACGGGUGAGUAACACGUGAGAAUCUGCCUUUAGGAGGGGGACAACAACUGGAAACGGUUGCUAAUACCCCAUAUGCUUUCGAGUGAAAUGAAUUUAUUCGCCUAAAGAGGAGCUCGCGGCUGAUUAGCUUGUUGGUAGAGUAAUAGCCUACCAAGGCGACGAUCAGUAUCUGGUUUGAGAGGACGAUCAGACACACUGGAACUGAGACACGGUCCAGACUCCUACGGGAGGCAGCAGUGGGGAAUUUUCCGCAAUGGGCGAAAGCCUGACGGAGCAAUACCGCGUGAGGGAAGACGGCCUAUGGGUUGUAAACCUCUUUUCUCAGGGAGGAAUUCAAUGACGUGUACCUGAGGAAUAAGCAUCGGCUAACUCCGUGCCAGCAGCCGCGGUAAGACGGAGGAUGCAAGUGUUAUCCGGAAUCACUGGGCGUAAAGCGUCUGUAGGUUGUUUAAUAAGUCAACUGUUAAAUCUUGAGGCUCAACCUCAAAAUCGCAGUCGAAACUAUUAGACUAGAGUAUAGUAGGGGUAAAGGGAAUUUCCAGUGGAGCGGUGAAAUGCGUAGAGAUUGGAAAGAACACCGAUGGCGAAGGCACUUUACUGGGCUAUUACUAACACUCAGAGACGAAAGCUAGGGUAGCAAAUGGGAUUAGAUACCCCAGUAGUCCUAGCUGUAAACAAUGGAUACUAGAUGUUGAACAGAUCGACCUGUGCAGUAUCAAAGCUAACGCGUUAAGUAUCCCGCCUGGGAAGUAUGCUCGCAAGAGUGAAACUCAAAGGAAUUGACGG
rnacentral:rRNA from 1 species